rnacentral:misc_RNA from 1 species
GCAGGAGCAGGAGCAGGACUACAGCGAGAUAUAGUAGAGGAGCCAGGAGAGGAGCUAUCACAAGGAUGGCCGGGCCGCAAGUCCAGCACAGUCAGCGACCGAACAGCGCCUACUACACGGGCCUCAAUGGCAGUGGAACUAGUGGCGCCUCCGCCUCCGCUUCCGCCAGUGGCAUGGCCACCAGUGCCUCCCACACCGGACUCCAUGCCCUGCGGCAGGUGAGCAACGAAACGGAGCUCAUCUAUCGGGGAAGUCACAGCAAUGGAACGGUCAACGAGCUGCCCUCCACCGCCCACCACCUGCUCACAGGACGACUGCCCCAACAGAAGCCGCAACAGCAGCAGACGCAGCAGCUGCCACCGAGGCAACAAGUGAGCAGUAUAGCCGGCACCGGAUCGAGUGCCACAGAUGCCCUGAUCAAUACCAUUACCUCCGGAGGAGGAGGAGGAGGUGGCACUGGAGGAGGUGGCACUCCGUCGGGGGCAGGCACUAGCAGCACCGCUCUGGGCCUCAAAAAAUCAAACACACAGCGCAGCAUCGAAAUCAUUGUGGAUGCCAGCCAGUGCGGCAAGGAGCUGGCCACCACCACCAACAAUGCCGGGGGCAGUGCCACCGCCCUGGAUGCCGGUGACGAUGUGGAACAGGGCGGUGGGGGGCAGGAGUCCUCCUCCUCGCAUAGGAAGUCCUCGAGGCAUCGCCAUCGACCCCUGCACCGCCGACUCAUCAGCUACCUGAGGAAUCUCUUCCAGGGCAGCACCACCCAGAAUGCUCGGAGAAUCCUUUUGGUUGCCUGGGAUUGCAUCGUCAAUCAUUCAGAACUAGAGGAGUUUGAAACACCGGCCAGGUACAGGCCCGACUCGCUAAGCGCCCUCAGUCGAGCCACCCGAUUCACCGAGGACGAGAUCAAACGAAUUUAUAGAGGAUUCAAGGCCGAGUGCCCAACUGGCGUCGUCAAGGAGGACACCUUCAAAGUGAUCUACUCACAGUUCUUCCCACAGGGAGCCAAUCCAACCCUAUACGCACACUAUGUAUUUAAUACACUGGAUCAGGAUCACAGCGGCAUUGUCAGCUUCGAGGACUUUGUCCAAGGACUCUCGAUACUUUCGCGCGGCUCGGUGGAGGAGAAGCUGCGCUGGACCUUCUCGCUGUACGACAUCAACGGCGAUGGCUUCAUUACGAGGGAGGAAAUGACUGACAUUGUGACUGCCAUAUACGAGCUGAUGGGCCGCCUGCCGGACGAGUGUCCCGAGGAGGAGAAGAUCAAGGGCAAGGUGGAGCAGAUCUUUCAGAAAAUGGACAUCAAUCGGGAUGGAGUGGUGACCCUGGAGGAGUUCCUGGAGGCAUGUCGCAACGAUGACGCCAUUUCCGGGUCGAUGUCAGUGUUCGACACAGCGUUCUGACCAUAUCCGACCGACAAGGGCGACGAGUACACGGUGCGCCGUCGACGACGCAGUGGCAGUCGCUCCCAGAAUCCUCGACAGGAUCAGCAGUUCAAGGAUCCGGAAAAACAAAUUUGCAUAGAAACGAAAUGAAAUGCGUAACGGUAACGAGAAACACAACGCGAAUCUGCCAAAAACAAAAAAACAAAAAAAACAAGCAUUCAAAAUACAAAAAUAUGGAAAAAAAAAUUAAAGAAAAAUCUAGGUGCCGAAUGUCCAUAAAUAUCCAAUUAUGGUCUGGUUUGUGGAUCGGCAGGAGAACCUGCAUCUAUUUCAAGAACAAAAAAUACUCCAUUUUUGAUUGGGUUGCACUUAGAGGGUUAAAUUGAGCAUCACAUGUAAGUAAACCGGAAACUGGACUGCUUGCAAGAUGGCGUACAAGAUGGCGCAAUGCAGUAAGCAGUGCAGAAUGAAAGCAGUGCAGUAUUUAAAAUGAACAAGAAAAUGAACAGAAAAUGAACAUGUAUGCUUAUUAACAUACGAAACGAAAGCUUUACACAAUGAAAACUAAAAACUUAACUCUUAAAGAUUUAACGAAAUGAUGAACAAAAAUUUAGACAGAAAUUAAAACUAUAUUUAUACGAUGGAGUAGCUCUCCAAGAAUUCAAAUAAAAUUGAAAGAUGACCAGUUUGAAGGAAAAUUUAAGAUAUACAACUUAGAGAAAUAGGUAUAUGUAUGGCACACACCAACACCACUCCCGUAUAUGUAUAGCAAGCUCGUAGGUAAAUGUGAAAUGUGAAAUUUUGUGGUGUCUAAAUCAAAAUAAUGAAACAAAUACGACUCUCACGCAUAGGCAGAGGCAGAGGCAUACACUGCGUAUGCGUAUUGCGUUGAAUGUUGAAUGUAUUAUUUAUUAUUUCGUUGUUGUUCUUGCCACACAACAGGCUCCAUUAGCAAAUUAGUUGCAACUCAAACUGAAACUAAUGAUGGUGGCAAGAUGGAAUGUCAUCAAGUCGGCCCUGUCGG